rnacentral:rRNA from 4 species
UUUAAUUGAAGAGUUUGAUCAUGGCUCAGAUUGAACGCUGGCGGCAGGCCUAACACAUGCAAGUCGAGCGGCA